rnacentral:rRNA from 1 species
GGCGGACGGGUGAGUAACGCGUGGGUAACCUGCCUCAUACAGGGGGAUAACAGUUAGAAAUGACUGCUAAUACCGCAUAAGACCGCGGUACCGCAUGGUACAGUGGUAAAAACUCCGGUGGUAUGAGAUGGACCCGCGUCUGAUUAGGUAGUUGGUGGGGUAACGGCCUACCAAGCCGACGAUCAGUAGCCGACCUGAGAGGGUGACCGGCCACAUUGGGACUGAGACACGGCCCAG